rnacentral:autocatalytically_spliced_intron from 1 species
UGCGGGAAACUCCUCUAAAGCUGAUCAGUACUCAUCAGCCUCUAUUAGUUGGCAACAGUGAUGUUGUUUCAUAUGACCGCAAGGUCUUUAAUAUCACAACUGAUAUGCUGGCAGUAAAAAUCUGACAGAUAUGUGGACAAUCCGCAGGAAAGGCUUUUUUAAGCGUCAUGCUUUUAAAAGAAUCCUCAGAGACU